AGAGUUUGAUCCUGGCUCAGAGCGAACGCUGGCGGCAGGCCUAACACAUGCAAGUCGAACGAACUCUUCGGAGUUAGUGGCGGACGGGUGAGUAACACGUGGGAACGUGCCUUUAGGUUCGGAAUAACUCAGGGAAACUUGUGCUAAUACCGAAUGUGCCCUUCGGGGGAAAGAUUUAUCGCCUUUAGAGCGGCCCGCGUCUGAUUAGCUAGUUGGUGAGGUAAAGGCUCACCAAGGCGACGAUCAGUAGCUGGUCUGAGAGGAUGAUCAGCCACAUUGGGACUGAGACACGGCCCAAACUCCUACGGGAGGCAGCAGUGGGGAAUCUUGCGCAAUGGGCGAAAGCCUGACGCAGCCAUGCCGCGUGAAUGAUGAAGGUCUUAGGAUUGUAAAAUUCUUUCACCGGGGACGAUAAUGACGGUACCCGGAGAAGAAGCCCCGGCUAACUUCGUGCCAGCAGCCGCGGUAAU
rnacentral:rRNA from 1 species